CGGACGGGUGAGUAACGCGUGGAUAACCUGCCUCACACUGGGGAUAACAGUUAGAAAUGACUGCUAAUACCGCAUAAGCGCACAGUACCGCAUGGUACAGUGUGAAAAACUCCGGUGGUGUGAGAUGGAUCCGCGUCUGAUUAGCCAGUUGGCGGGGUAACGGCCCACCAAAGCGACGAUCAGUAGCCGACCCGAGAGGGUGACCGGCCACAUUGGGACUGAGACACGGCCCAA
rnacentral:rRNA from 1 species